AGUGAACGCUGGCGGUAGGCCUAACACAUGCAAGUCGAACGGCAGCACAGUAAGAGCUUGCUCUUACGGGUGGCGAGUGGCGGACGGGUGAGGAAUACAUCGGAAUCUACUUUUUCGUGGGGGAUAACGUAGGGAAACCUACGCUAAUACCGCAUACGACCUACGGGUGAAAGCAGGGGAUCUUCGGACCUUGCGCGAUUGAAUGAGCCGAUGUCGGAUUAGCUAGUUGGCGGGGUAAAGGCCCACCAAGGCGACGAUCCGUAGCUGGUCUGAGAGGUUGAUCAGCCACACUGGAACUGAGACACGGUCCAGACUCCUACGGGAGGCAGCAGUGGGGAAUAUUGGACAAUGGGCGCAAGCCUGAUCCAGCCAUACCGCGUGGGUGAAGAAGGCCUUCGGGUUGUAAAGCCCUUUUGUUGGGAAAGAAAAGCAGCAGGUUAAUACCCCGCUGUUCUGACGGUACCCAAAGAAUAAGCACCGGCUAACUUCGUG
rnacentral:rRNA from 1 species